GGUUACAGGGAGCUGGCAUCAAGCCUGUUUCCCAGCUGGCUUAGGAUGUGUUUCUGAGGAUACCAUCCAGACAUUAUUCACCUACCAAAUGUAGGACAGGGUGCUUGGAAAAAAAGAGUGUCUUGCCAAUAGGGAGGGAAUCCUAAAGAAGGGAUUUCCAGAGAAGGUCUCUGAGAAUCAGCUUGUACCUGUAGCCUCCAGACAUUGCAGUGUGGAUGAACUCCACUAUCAGUGAGUCAGAAAGUGAGGUCUCUUCCAUGGCCUGGAUCCCCUACAGGGAAGACCUUCAAAGAUACCUGCGUGAAGGGGAAUAUCCUCCCUUUCGGUCUGUUGCAAUGUUUGAAAGCAACUUUAUCCAGAUUACUAGGAGGGGCAAGAACGUGGACAUCCAUAAUCAUCCGACCGAGGCCACCAUCGGCAUCAUCUCCACCGACAACAAACUGCCACUGCCCAACAUAAUGCUCAUCGCCCGCCCAGUGCCCAUGCAGAACGGCCAGGUCCCCUCAGGGUGCCGCACCGAGCAGCUGGUGCUCACCAGGCUCCUGCCCUUGAAGUUUGUGCGCAUCUCCGUUCACGAUCCCGACAGGCAGCGCAUCAAGCUCAAGCUGAUCAAUGGGCGCUCCUACUACCUGCAGCUUUAUGCCUCCCCGGGGGAGCAGGAGCUUCUCUUUGAUCGCUGGCUGUCACUCAUCUACCUGCUGCAUCACCCCCCGGACUGGUACCUGCGCCCGAGUUCCUGCAUGCCCAGAGACAACCUCAGUGUGCAGAUCCUAGCGAGCGAGGAGGAAGAGGAGGUGGUGGUGCCAGGAAGCCAGAACAAGGCUCAGGAGGAUGCAGAUCCAGAAGAGAAGGGACAGGAGCAGGUGGACAAUGCUGCAAGUCCUCUUGGUGAGAGCAGCAGCAGAGUGAGUCUCGCCCAAGGGCCAAGCACAGAGACCAAGCCGGAGCUCAGCUCGGAGUCCAAUGAGCACGAGAGCCUCACAGAGUCAGACGUGGUGAGGCAUGAAGGGGAUCUGGGAGAAAGGGCCAACAGCAGCUCACUGCACUCCAGCACGGCAGUAGAUCAGGCCAGGGAAAAUACAGCUGUGUCUGUCCUGUCAGACACAACAGCUAAGGAUUCAAACACAUCGUCACAGGCUUCAGUGAAGGGGAGAUGCAGCAGCCUUAAGAUUGUGACGCUCUUUAGUGCCAUUUCCAAAACACUUCUGAGAAAGGGGAGUGAGGAAGAGAAGACUGAAGCUGACCAUGGAUGAUGGAGAAACUGAGACCCAUCAGCACAGAGGAAAGAACAGAGACCCUAGUCCUGGGAGGAGAAGGGAAGUAGAAGGGCAGUGCCCAGCUGGAAUGAUCCAAAACUGCUUCCAUAUAAGAAUGAAGGGAAAGAAACAGAAGAGAAAUGGAUGGAGAAUGGGAAGAAAAGUUUACCACCUAAAAGACUUAUCCAGUCCUUCCUUCUCAUGCAUUUUAACCCUUUAAAAUUAAACAUUCUUCUAAACAUCAGUCAGCAACACCGUGCUGGAAAAGCCAGCAUCCAGGCUAGAGAGAAGGCUGCUCUGGGACAUUUACAAUUUAUAUUUACAAGACAAUUACAGCCAUCAGCAAGAGGGUCAGAAGGGACACAUUUUAAAUACUGUAGCCUCUGUCUAGAUUUUUGUUGUAUUAUCUUUCACAGUUUUCUAUUGUGUGCUAUGCUCCUGAUGGUCAACUCUCACAGAGUUGGUCAUAAUGGGGAACAAAUAAGGAAUUCUGGUUUAAUCCCAAGAAGCAGUUACUAUCUGCAUGUACUGGAGCCGAAUGCAUCAGAUAAGGGGCUCUAUAAGCUAUUUUUACCACCCCACAAGUAAAGAAAACAGUUCCCGCUCUGCAGAAUUUACAAUCGAACAUUAGAUAUGACACAAUGAGUAGAGCAACAAAGAGUAAGGAGGAACAAGCAAUCAUACAGCAAUAACGUCCAUCUCAGUUAUGGCACAUUCACACAGAUUCAUAGAUUAAGAUCAGAAGGAUCCAUUAUGGUCAAAUCAACAUGUUCAACAGCCUAAGGGUUACUGGAAAGGGUUUAGUUAUUUUAAACAUAACCCACUGGAGCCAAGAGCUUAACACCUCCAAGGUACUGAGGGAUAAAAGGCUAAAUCCCAGUUUAUCAGCCACAAGAGAAAGAAAGAAAAAAGUGACGCAUACCGCCAAGCUGGGGUUCUUCACUGCAGGGCAGGC